UCUCCCACAUUUUAGUUCUUUCCCCUUCCCCACCUUCUCUGUUCUACGGUUUCACAUUUAAUCAUCGCCAGCCUCUCUCCCUUCUAAUGGCAACCUCUCUAUUUUCCUUCCUUCCUGUCUUCCUCUCCUUACAAUAUAUAAAUACUGAUAGCAGCUAGACGAUUCAGUUGAGUGAUGCAAGGGCGCAAGUUGAUGAUGAAGAUACAGCAAUGAUGAACAUUAUCAGGUUUGAUGAUUGGGUCACCAUUAAAAUCUUAAACUAGACAAUGAUGGUGAAUCUCUUAUCCACAUCUCUCAUUGUUUAGGUUUUUCUUAUUCACUUUCAAUUUUAAGUGGUGAAUCCCUUAUCCACAUCUCUCAUUGUUUAGGUUUUUCUUAUUCACUUUCAAUUUUAAAUAAAUUUUUACUUAAAACUUUGAAGAAACAUUCAAUGCUUUUUGCAACAGGAAUCAACUAUGCUGAUAUGACAAAUUAGCUUUGGCGUCAUUGGCUCCAUCUGACGAAUCAGUACCUAGCCGCUCUAGAAAGAAGAAGUCCAAGUGAUCACUACCAUGUUCAUGCAAUACAAAAAACACCGUUGUUUCUGCCAGAAAGGUGCUUUUGGAAGGAGAGAAAUGCUAAGAAACAAAGUCUGCAACAACAUUGAAACAAAUGAAAAAUUUUCCUAUUCUCAGGCAAAUCAUGGUCCUCACGGAAGCUUCAAAGUCUAAGAAAGGCAAAUGGAUUGGUGUUUCAUUUUAGUGUAAGAAUUUGAAAAAGUUCCAAUAUGUUCAUGGGCUGUCAAAGUUGAAAAGUGCAUAGGAAGACUACUGCUAUAUUGUUAUCUUUGAGGGUUCUCCCUAUCAAAGUCAUGAGAGAAUUUGUAGAACAAGCUUCUUUAUUUUUUAUUCUAUAUAUAUAUAUAUAUAUAUAUAUUUUUUUUUUUUUGGACUUUAGGUUUCAUGUAAGGUAUUUAUUUUGUCUAAUAGAUGUUUGUUGUACUCUGCUUGGCAUAUUUUUAAAUUGGUACAAACUGUUGAAACAUAAACUAUUAGGACCUAUAAUACUUUUCAAAGUUGCUGUGUGAGGGCCUUAGGCCUUCACUUGGUAUCAAUUUGGUGGGCAGCAGGUGUUUGUUGAAAGUUGAGUAUUGGCACUUGGCAGCUAAGUGGUUUGUAAUGUUGUAAGUGGAACCUAAGUUUAAUCAAGCACCAUGGUCUUCUCUUUU